CCCUUAGAUGUUCUGGGCCGCACGCGUGCUACACUGAGUGGAUCAGCGGGUCAGGUUGCGCGAAAGUGUUUCCUAAUCUUGAAAUCCGCUCGUGAUGGGGAUUGACGGUUGCAAUUUUCCGUCAUGAACGAGGAAUACCUUGUAAGCGCGGGUCAUCAUCCCGCGCUGAAUACGUCCCUGCCCUUUGUACACACCGCCCGUCGCUCCUACCGAUUGAGUGGUCCGGUGAGGCUUUGGGAUCUGAGCAAAGAGAGCGUUUCGCUCGUUUUGCCCGGAAAACUCAGUCGAACCUUAUCAUUCAGAGGAAGGAGAAGUCGUAACA
rnacentral:rRNA from 1 species